UUUUAUUAGAGUCUAUCACGGAUUUUUCUAAGAUUUCUUUGGUUUAGCCUUGCUUUAGUUUUGUAACUUUCCUUUAUGUGUAUAUUUGCCCAAAAUAAUGAUUUUUAUCUUAUAUCUUCAGGUUUUUGUUGUUUUUUAUUGAUGUGUUGAUGAUGUUUACAUUUACAACUCUUUGUUAUGAUGGCAGAAAAGCACUCCAGGAAGAGAGUAAAAGCGAUUCAAAUUCGGUUAUUUUCAGAUUUUAUGUUAUUGUUGUCGGGAUUUAUGCCGAUGUCCAGUUUUUCAUUAGUUUCCUCAUGCAGAUUCCUGCAUUGUCAUCUUCUGACAAACCAAUGUGAUCGUUGGCCUCUCAUUCGCUUUGUGAAGUGGCCGCGCCAGGAACGACAUUAUGUUGGACGGGGAAUGUAUGAAAGGAGUUUCGAUUUCAUAAAGUAUAUGCUGUUUUGGCUAGUCAUUUUGAGUGCAAAAUUUUUAUUUGCUUACUUUCUUCAGGUACGUGACAUACUCAUAGUUGCCUCCAAAUUGGAAUUAUACUGUUAGAACUGGUAUCUAAAUUAAUUAAAUAUACUGAAUUUACUAGAAUAUUUUAGAUAAUAAAUCUUGAAGCAGUGAUUACAUAUAAUGCAGUAGCAGUUCUUCCUCUGGCCAAAACUGACAGAUUCAUUUUCUGACGUAACAAUUACAGAAGUUACACACAAAUGACAGGAAUUUGAGAGCCCGUCCUCUCCCUAACCAACCGGUUUAUACCAAAUAAUGCCUCAAUUAAAACAACAAACUACUAUUUAUAGAGUUACACACACACUAAUAAAAACAUAACUGACAUAAUUAAAAUAACUUCUCCUAAUAAUAUAAUAACUGCCAUUAAUUACAUAAUAAAUACGUAAUAAUAUUUACUAAUAAGUGGUCUAACGUAUGCAUCUGUUUGUUCUUGUGUGCCUAUAUGUGGGUGAGUGGAUAAUAUUGCUUGUACCUACUGUGCGUAUGCUUAUAUGCUUGUACACUUGAAUGUUUUAUUUUUGAGGUUUUCAGAUCAAGCCACUUGUGAAACCAACAAGGGACAUAAUAAAAGAGAAAAACUUAGUUUACUCUUGUCAUGAUUUUGUAUCUAAAAGUAAGCGGUGGUCUGUUUAAGUUUGUGGUUAUGUCUUUUUGUUUCCUGUUGAUGCUAUUGGCUACUAAAGUGCCUUUAUUUUUGCUGAUAAUCUCAAUGCUUUGACAAUUGUUAGCAUAUGGUCUCCAGUGGUUUUCGUAAGUGCAUCACUGUUUUGCCUUUUUACCCCCUUGUAUGCUUUAGUUCUACUUUUUUCGUUAAUGAUAGCUUUCUUCUCUCGUGGGGAUGAAAUUGUCUUUCAAGAGGUUGUUGAAGUUUGGUGUGAACUAUGAAGUAGCACAGAUAUUAAUGUGAUAUUUAUGUACUAUCAUUUAUGAAGCCUUCUAGCAUUUUAUGUUUAUGUUCAUUUGCACUCAAAACAAGCUUUUCUGCUGAAAGCUAUAUCUUGAAAAACAUGUUUAGCUCUUGUAAGUUGUAACUCAAAUACUCAAAUAAAUAUAUUAUUUUAGGAGGUAUUGAACUAAUAUUGAGUUGGAACAUUUUCAGUACUGAUGGUUGUUUUUGUUAUUGAUUUAUCUCAUCCUUUUCACCUUGACUGUUUCUAUUGUGCAGGAGAAUGAGGAUAGAUAUAUUAUACUACCUAGGAGAUGCUGCUCUGUUUUCCUAUUAAUAUAAAUAAAAUACUUUACAUUUUUUUUUUUUUAGCGUUUAUAAUAUAGCUCCAUUACUAAGAUUUUGCAUCUACAAACGGUUCCCCCCGAGAGCCCCUUGAUUGAUUAUUUGGCUUUCGUCAGACUCACAACGGUAAAUAA